AUUAAGAAAAGGCAAACUUGCUGAAAGGCAAGGACGCAAAGCCACAGGUCUACGGAACCAAACUAUGACGGCUGGGCUACCGAU
rnacentral:ncRNA from 1 species